UGUCGGUGCCUUUCGGGGCAUUUCCUCCCUAGUCUUUGGCCGCGCUUUCUUUAUUGGGGCGCGGCUCUUUUUAUCUACA
rnacentral:sRNA from 1 species